AUGUUGUGUGAAAGGAGAAAAGGCUGGCACUGCCCUGGACAAGGUGGAAGAGGCUCUCAAGCCUGACAACACACCUGUGGUUAAAGCGUUGCCACCUACUUUGUGGCAGCUCCAUUAGCCCUC
ensembl:snRNA U6atac minor spliceosomal RNA